UGGGCGGUAUCCAAUUGGAACUGCACCGCAACAACAAUUAAAGCGGAUCUGCCUUGAUCCAAUUAAGGACUAGGACAGAGGG
rfam:Bacillus wakoensis JCM 9140 DNA, contig:contig_6.